GACGAACGCUGGCGGCGUGCCUAAUACAUGCAAGUUGAGCGCUGAAGGUUGGUACUUGUACCAACUGGAUGAGCAGCGAACGGGUGAGUAACGCGUGGGGAAUCUGCCUUUGAGCGGGGGACAACAUUUGGAAACGAAUGCUAAUACCGCAUAAAAACUUUAAACACAAGUUUUAAGUUUGAAAGAUGCAAUUGCAUCACUCAAAGAUGAUCCCGCGUUGUAUUAGCUAGUUGGUGAGGUAAAGGCUCACCAAGGCGAUGAUACAUAGCCGACCUGAGAGGGGGACCGGCCACAUUGGGACUGAGACACGGCCCAAACGCCUACGGGAGGCGGCAGUAGGGAAUCUUCGGCAAUGGACGAAAGUCUGACCGAGCAACGCCGCGGGAGUGAAGAAGGUUGUCGGAUCGUAAAACUCUGUUGGUAGAGAAGAACGUUGGUGAGAGUGGAAAGCUCAUCAAGUGACGGUAACUACCCAGAAAGGGACGGCUAACUACGUG
rnacentral:rRNA from 1 species